AUAAAACCUGUGAAGAGAAUAGUAGCUUGAUGAAAUUUUUAGAGAGUCGAUGGCUGGUGUAAAUCGAUAAUUGUCAUUUAGUGAAUCCACCUCAGAGGGAUUGCGAUGAGCAAUACGGUGUUAAUAACCGUUAUUUAAAUUAAGAGGAUCAAUUUAUUUGAUCAAUUAGGGUGGCAACGCGGAGCCUUUCGUCCCUUUA
rnacentral:ncRNA from 1 species